UACGGGAGGCAGCAGUGGGGAAUAUUGCACAAUGGGCGCAAGCCUGAUGCAGCCAUGCCGCGUGUAUGAAGAAGGCCUUCGGGUUGUAAAGUACUUUCAGCGGGGAGGAAGGCGUUGAGGUUAAUAACCUCAUCGAUUGACGUUACCCGCAGAAGAAGCACCGGCUAACUCCGUGCCAGCAGCCGCGGUAAUA
rnacentral:rRNA from 1 species